UACAGGGGGUGCAAACGUUGCUCGGAAUCAUUGGGCGUAAAGCGCACGUAGGCGGUUCGUUAUGUCGGAUGUGAAAGCCCUCGGCUUAACUGAGGAAGUGCACCUGAAACUGGCAGGCUUGAGUACGAAAGAGGGUCGCGGAAUUCCCGGUGUAGAGGUGAAAUUCGUAGAGAUCGAGAGGAACACCGGUGGCGAAGGCGGCCUUCUGGACAGUGACUGACGCUGAGACGCGAAAGCGUGGGGAGCAAACAGG
rnacentral:rRNA from 1 species